AGCUUUGCGCAGUGGCAGUAUCAUAGCCAAUGAGGUUUAUCUGAGGCCUGAUUAUUGCUAAUUAAAACUAAGGCAGUGAAUUCGGUACACGUCUUUGGUAUGUAUCUCAAGAACUGGGCCCCUGGCUAUCCUUAGG
ensembl:snRNA U4 U4 spliceosomal RNA